rnacentral:rRNA from 1 species
UACAGAGGUCUCAAGCGUUGUUCGGAUUCAUUGGGCGUAAAGGGUGCGUAGGUGGCGCCGUAAGUCGGGUGUGAAAUUUCGGAGCUUAACUCCGAAACUGCAUUCGAUACUGCGGUGCUUGAGGACUGGAGAGGAGACUGGAAUUCAUGGUGUAGCAGUGAAAUGCGUAGAGAUCAUGAGGAAGACCAGAGGCGAAGGCGGGUCUCUGGACAGUUCCUGACACUGAGGCACGAAGGCCAGGGGAGCAAACGGG